GAACGCACAUUGCGCUUCCUGGUAUUCCGGGGAGCAUGCCCGUUUCAGCACCAGCAAAAACCCUCAAAAAGGGGAUUUCUUUUUCGGAGGAAUUCUCCCUUUUGGUUUUGGUUUGUCUUCGUUUCAGGGGGGUGUCAAAACCUCGUUUCUUUACGAAGACGAUGCCUUGAAUUCAUCGAGUGUACAGCGAUGGUUGAAACCAUUCUCCGUCUGUGUAACCAAAGUGCAACAGAAAUGUUACUUCAUCCCUUUGGUGUCGGCAGAUGGGACGCUCUCUCAAAUUGGAGCUCGAGGGUCGACGGUAAAUCGUCGGCAAUCGUUCCCAAAAACACAACUUGGUCUGAAAUCGGGCAAGAGAACCCGCUGAACUUAAG
rnacentral:misc_RNA from 1 species